GAGCUACGAGUGCUCUGAUUCUUCCUCUGGUUAGAGAAGAUACGUAUGCAUAGGAUGCAACAUCCUAGCGAGCACGUUUCCCCUUUCCCCGAACUACGUCGACUCUGAUGUUUGUGUGACAAACUACGUAUAACAUCCUAGCGAGCACGUUUCCCCUUUCCCCGAACUACGUCGACUCUGAUGUUUGUGUGACAAACUACGUAGGACCAGGAUGCGAUAUCCUGCCGAGUUACCUUCUUCCGUCUUUCAUCUGUGUUUCUAUUCCAGUGUUGUGCAGUUUUGAGCAGUAUCUUUAGCAAUCUUUCUUCUAUU
rnacentral:lncRNA from 1 species